ACGACAAUUUUCAUAAAAAUAUUACUCACAGACGCGAAUGCAAUAGACGUCAUUGACUAAAAAAAAAAGAUGGAUUAUGCCUGGUGGAAACGAUGAUUGGAACAUUGGUAUACAUAUGCGAAAGUAUGCAUGCAAACACAUUUGCACAGUGAGUGCGGCUUUGAUGGUGGUUGUGGUGAUAGUCUAAAAGUUUUCACUUCGAAGACGAAAUUUCGCCAUCCAGGUAGUCUCCGAGUUCUACUUGACUAGAUCGAACGUGAGCAUCGACUUUAGUGUAAGGUUCCAAAAACAUACAAACAAUGUCUCUGCAUACAUACAUAUGUACAUGUAUAAAGUGAUGGAAUACGUUUAAAUAAAGCGAUAGAAAUGGCAAAAUAAAAUUCAACAACAAACAGAUUUAAAAAAAAAUCGAAAAACCGAAUACAUAAAUAGUAUAACUACAUAUAAUUAAUCAACGAAUAAUAAAAAAUAGUUUUAAAUAAAUGAGAAAAUACACACAACAACAAAUUUGAAAAAGAUUUAAAAGCUGAAUUCAGAACCACUAUAAUUAUACGUACAUACAUAUUUGCAAUACCUGUGGAGAAAUUGGAAUAUUUUUUAUACAUAUGUACAUACGCAUACACACAAAUAUAUUCAGAAUAGUCACCGUUUAAGCAAUAAAUAAUUUUUGGAGGCCGAAAAUAUCGAAAAAUCAAUAAAGCAAAAAUGCAACAAACGCGUUCACAGCGGAGGCAAUCCAGUCAUCUUUUCCAAAUGCAGGAUGGACUGAGUCCUAAAAAAACAGCCGUCAUAAUUGUGACCGUAGUUGGUUGCAUUGCAAUACUUUGGCCGAAGGUAUUCUAUCCGAUGAUGUUCGGUAGCAACGUGCCCGCGAAAAGUGGAAAUUUAAAGGAUCAACUUGGACCGGGAGGUUGUUGUGAUGUUGUUAUUGACAGAGAUAAAUUUCUGAAUGAAACUCCAACAGAAAUUGGUCCACAAUUGUACCGCAAGCAACUGAAUUUAUAUACCGGAGAGAUGAAUUCUAAUCCAGGUUUACGGCAGGAGCGUCCAGCACAUUUACAUCCCGAAUCCAUCUAUCAAGCGAUGCGUGAACGGGGUCGUGCCAUUCCCGCAACUACACCGACAGUGCCAAUUUUGGAGCGCAAAGGAUCAGCCAGCAAUCCACCGCCACGUGUCGUUGAUGGCCGCCCUGGCCCUAUUCCCGGAAUGCGCCCACCCAUGGGCGCCGGAUCUAUGCAUCAACCGCAGGCCCGUGCUGGUAAUAGUAUGGGCUUCAUAAUGCCACUUUAUACAAUUGGGAUAAUAGUCUUCUUCGGUUACACGAUUAUGAAGAUAGUGUUCAAGCGGCCAACGCCGAAUGCACCUUAUGGACCCAUGCCUACCAAUCCCGACUUUAGAAAAGAAGUCUUUGGUCAAGAAAAUGGCAGACAAGUUGACGAAGCGAAUAAUUCUAAACUAGGGUGGCGCGAACAUCAAGCAAGGUCCAAACCACAUGAACAGAUCAGCAGUGGUGGUGGCGGCGGUGUUGCAAGUGGUAGCGAGCUUUACAAUGCCAGUUUGGCAACUGCCACGGCGGCAUCCAUUCUUUCGACGCAGCUGAAGCAGCACAGUCAUGGUAUACCCAGCACUUUUGGUGGUGUUGGCACUGGCGCUGGGGGAAGCUUGGCUGCCGGAUACAGCAAGGAAACUGAACAAUUGAUGGAAAUUGAGAAAUUGCGUAAAAAGCUUGAGGAUACCGAAAAGGCGAUGGCAAAAUUGAUCGCAGAAAUGAACUCAGAUCAAUACGAAGCUAAGAUGAUCGCCAUACAAUUUAUAAAGAGUAAAAUGAAUUAGAAUAUUCACAACGAAUCAAAUAAAGAACGAAAAUCAUCUAAGAGUCAGCUCUAACGCCAACACACCACCAAUCUAAAAAUCAAGCGAAAAUCCGACAUCGAACUUUGGAGGCAUUUCCAAUGGGCAUACGAAAUCUGAGCAGGAACAUGAGCAUGUAGAUUAUAAAGAUACAAACGAGCUAAAUCUGGCGAAUAGUGAAACUCCCUCGAAUGUAGAUAGAGAACAUAAAAAUGAAGUGCAGAGUCUUAUUAGUAAAACCACAGGCGAUGCUGAACAAAAGAACAUCCAACAA
rnacentral:misc_RNA from 1 species